rnacentral:lncRNA from 1 species
AGGAUGCGACGUCAACGGGAGCGCAGGGCCAAGAUACCCUUUAUAUCAAACCGUCUAUCCUGGAGCAGAAAAAUCCUGUCUUCAUUGCUAUAGCUACAGAUUCAGAAAUGAGCAUGUAACAAAUUCAGGCCAAAGAGAGGCAAUGGAAAUCAGAGAAACACUGUUCCUGAAAGCUUCUGUCACUCAAGAAUCCAUGAAACAUUCAUGAACUUCACAUCAGAAGCCAAGCCCAGAAAAUAUGGGUUUAAGGUUUGCCUAUAUGUCCAAUACAAGAGAAAAAAGAACAUUCCACUUCUUUAGAAGGUUCUACUUUGAUCUCCUGGAAGAUUUCUGUAUUUGUCUUCUUAACUCUUGAGUUUUGUUGUUGCUAAUAUUGGAUGAAGAGGAGACAAAAUGAUUGGAUCUAGAGGAGCACCGACAAGCAAAUGGCAGAUUCCUAGGCCCUCACCAGAGGCUGAGCAGAUGUUGGUGCCAUGCUUGUACAAGUCUACGGAACCAUGAGCUAAAAUAAACCUUUUUUCUUUAGAA